rnacentral:rRNA from 1 species
UACGGGGGGGGCAAGCGUUGUUCGGAAUUACUGGGCGUAAAGGGCUCGUAGGCGGCCAACUAAGUCAUACGUGAAAUCCCUCGGCUUAACCGGGGAACUGCGUCUGAUACUGGAUGGCUUGAGUUCGGGAGAGGGAUGCGGAAUUCCAGGUGUAGCGGUGAAAUGCGUAGAUAUCUGGAGGAAUACCGGUGGCGAAGGCGGCAUCCUGGACCGACAUUGACGCUGAACGGCGAAAGCUAGGGGAGCAAACGGG